rnacentral:rRNA from 1 species
UACGUAGGGACCAAGCGUUGUUCGGAUUUACUGGGCGUAAAGGGCGCGUAGGCGGCUUAACAAGUCACUUGUGAAAUCUCCGGGCUUAACUCGGAACGGCCAAGUGAAACUGUCAAGCUAGAGUGCAGAAGGGGCAAUCGGAAUUCUUGGUGUAGCGGUGAAAUGCGUAGAUAUCAAGAGGAACACCUGAGGUGAAGACGGGUUGCUGGGCUGACACUAACGCUGAGGCGCGAAAGCCAGGGGAGCAAACGGG